rnacentral:lncRNA from 1 species
UGUUCAGUUUGUUUGCUUUUCAUUUAUUUCUUUGAUUAUUAAUUGUUCUUUUAGAAUGGUCAUUCUCAUAGCCCUAUUGGGUAUUCUGAAUUAUUAUCUAAGGAAUGUAAACUCUAACGCUAUUAUUUUGCUUCCGCACUUAAUUUAUAAUUUACUUUCUUUCAAGUUCCCAGUUGUUAUAGUUGGUAUCAGAACCGCGUUCCUCGG